rnacentral:rRNA from 1 species
AGAGUUUGAUCCUGGCUCAGGAUGAACGCUGGCGGCGUGCCUAACACAUGCAAGUUGAGCGAUUUACUUCGGUAAAGAGCGGCGGACGGGUGAGUAACGCGUGGGUAACCUACCCUGUACACACGGAUAACAUACCGAAAGGUAUGCUAAUACGGGAUAAUAUAUUUGAGAGGCAUCUCUUAAUAUCAAAGGUGAGCCAGUACAGGAUGGACCCGCGUCUGAUUAGUAGUUGGUAAGGUAACGGCUUACCAAGGCGACGAUCAGUAGCCGACCUGAGAGGGUGAUCGGCCACAUUGGAACUGAGACACGGUCCAAACUCCUACGGGAGGCAGCAGUGGGGAAUAUUGCACAAUGGGCGAAAGCCUGAUGCAGCAACGCCGCGUGAGUGAUGAAGGCCUUCGGGUCGUAAAACUCUGUCCUCAAGGAAGAUAAUGACGGUACUUGAGGAGGAAGCCCCGGCUAACUACGUGCCAGCAGCCGCGGUAAUACGUAGGGGGCUAGCGUUAUCCGGAUUUACUGGGCGUAAAGGGUGCGUAGGCGGUCUUUCAAGUCAGGAGUGAAAGGCUACGGCUCAACCGUAGUAAGCUCUUGAAACUGGGAGACUUGAGUGCAGGAGAGGAGAGUGGAAUUCCUAGUGUAGCGGUGAAAUGCGUAGAUAUUAGGAGGAACACCAGUUGCGAAGGCGGCUCUCUGGACUGUAACUGACGCUGAGGCACGAAAGCGUGGGGAGCAAACAGGAUUAGAUACCCUGGUAGUCC